rnacentral:rRNA from 1 species
GCCGGCAGCUAGCUCUCUGCAACUCUCACAUGGUCACCCACUGAAGCUAAGCAGGGCUGCGCCCGGUCAGUACCUGGAUGGGAGACCACAUGGGAAAGCUAGGUUGCUGCUGGAA